UACGUAGGGCGCAAGCGUUAUCCGGAAUUAUUGGGCGUAAAGAGCUCGUAGGCGGUUUGUCGCGUCUGCUGUGAAAGACCGGGGCUCAACUCCGGUUCUGCAGUGGGUACGGGCAGACUAGAGUGCAGUAGGGGAGACUGGAAUUCCUGGUGUAGCGGUGAAAUGCGCAGAUAUCAGGAGGAACACCGAUGGCGAAGGCAGGUCUCUGGGCUGUAACUACGUGAGGAGCGAAAGCAUGGGGGAGCGAACAGG
rnacentral:rRNA from 1 species